rnacentral:rRNA from 1 species
CUGCCGCGUGCGGGAAGAAGGCCUUCGGGUGUAAACCGCUUUGUCAGGGAAGAAAUCUUUCGAGCUAAUACCUUGAGAGGAUGACGGUACCUGAAGAAUAAGCACCGGCUAACUACGUGCCAGCAGCCGCGGUAAUACGUAGGGUGCAAGCGUUAAUCGGAAUUACUGGGCGUAAAGCGUGCGCAGGCGGUUGUGCAAGACAGGUGUGAAAUCCCCGGGCUUAACCUGGGAACUGCACUUGUGACUGCACGGCUGGAGUACGGCAGAGGGGGAUGGAAUUCCGCGUGUAGCAGUGAAAUGCGUAGAUAUGCGGAGGAACACCGAUGGCGAAGGCAGUCCCCUGGGCCUGUACUGACGCUCAUGCACGAAAGCGUGGGGAGCAAACAGGAUUAGAUACCCUGGUAGUCCACGCCCUAAACGAUGUCAACUGGUUGUUGGGAAGUUUUCUUCUCAGUAACGUAGCUAACGCGUGAAGUUGACCGCCUGGGGAGUACGGCCGCAAGGUUG